rnacentral:rRNA from 1 species
GAUGAACGCUGGCGGCGUGCCUAACACAUGCAAGUCGAACGGAGUCCAGCCUUUAAGACCUUCGGGUCAAAGAGGGGAAGACUGAGUGGCGGACGGGUGAGUAACACGUGGGCAACCUGGCUCAUAGAGGGGGAUGACAGAGAGAAAUUUCUGCUAAUACCGCAUAAGCACACACUGCCGCAUGGCAGAGGGUGAAAAGAGAAUCGCUAUGAGAUGGACCCGCGUCUGAUUAGCCAGUUGGCAGGGUAAGAGCCUACCAAAGCGACGAUCAGUAGCCGAUCUGAGAGGAUGAACGGCCACAUUGGGACUGAGACACGGCCCAAACUCCUACGGGAAGCAGCAGUGGGGGAUAUUGCACAAUGGGGGGAACCCUGAUGCAGCGACGCCGCGUGAGUGAAGAAGUAUUUCGGUAUGUAAAGCUCUAUCAGCAGGGAAGAUAAUGACAGUACCUGAAUAAGAAGCCCCGGCUAACUACGUG